rnacentral:rRNA from 1 species
UAACGGCGAAGUGAAGCGGGAAGAGCUCAAGCUUAAAAUCUCCGUGCAAGUUUUGCGCGGCGAAUUGUAGUCUAUAGAGGCGUGGUCAGCGCGGGCGCUUGGGGCAAGUUCCUUGGAAGAGGACAGCAUGGAGGGUGAUACUCCCGUUCAUCCCUGAGCGGCUCGUGCGUACGACCCGUUUUCUUUGAGUCGCGUUGUUUGGGAAUGCAGCGCAAAGUAGGUGGUAAAUUCCAUCUAAAGCUAAAUAUUGGUGCGAGACCGAUAGCGAACAAGUACCGUGAGGGAAAGAUGAAAAGAACUUUGAAAAGAGAGUUAAAGAGUACCUGAAACUGCUGAAAGGGAACCGAAUCGUUUCCAGUGUCUAUAAUCCGUGGCAUAUUUCAUUGGCGAAUGUUUGCGUGCGUGUGCUAUGGCAGUGGCUUUUUUGGCUGCGCCUGGCGUGUGUGCUGUGAGUGUUUGCUGGUGCCCUGUGCUGCGGUGGGACGUCAAGGUCAGUUCGUAUGCUGCGGGAAAUGGCUGCCGAGGAGGUAGGGCUUACGCUCCGCGUUUGUCUGUUAUAUCUUGGUGGACGAGUCGUCGCGGUUGGGACUGAGGUGCCUACAACGUGCUUUUGAGUGGGUUUGUGUCUCCGUGUGCGCCGUGUGCGGAUAGCUUGCUAUGCGUGUGUGGUUGUGUGCGGAUUGAUGCAGGCUUUAACUUGUCGCCGUUCGGGACGUUGACGAAAUGGAGCGAUCCGACCCGUCUUGAAACACGGACCAAGGAGUCUAACAUGUGUGCAAGUGUUAGGGUGUGGAAACCCCAGCGCGAAAUGAAAGUGAAGGGCAGCGCAAGUUGUCUGAGGUAGGAAACGUUGCGGGCUUCGGUCUGCGGCGUGGCACUAUCGACCGAUCAUGAACCUUCGUGGUGAAAGAUUUGAGUUUGAGCACRURUGUUGGUACCCGAAAGA